GCGGGUGUAGCUUAAUUGGCAGAGCGGCGGUCUCCAAAACCGUUAGGUGUAGGUUCGAAUCCUACCGCCCGUGCCA
rnacentral:tRNA from 1 species